rnacentral:rRNA from 1 species
CCUACGGGAGGCAGCAGUGAGGAAUAUUGGUCAAUGGCCGGAAGGCUGAACCAGCCAUGCCGCGUGAAGGUCAGUGCCCUAUGGGCGUUAAACUUCUUUUGUGCGGGAGCAAUAAUGGUCACGUGUGGCCAGACGAGAGUACCGUACGAAUAAGCAUCGGCUAACUCCGUGCCAGCAGCCGCGGGAAUACGGGGGAUGCAAGCGUUAUCCGGGUUUAUUGGGUUUAAAGGGUGCGUAGGCUGUGAGGUAAGUCAGCGGUGAAAUGCCCCCGCUCAACGGGGUGAAGUGCCAUUGAUACUGCCUGGCUGGAAUGCGGAUGCCGUGGGAGGAAUGUGUGGUGUAGCGGUGAAAUGCAUAGAUAUCACACAGAACACCGAUUGCGAAGGCAUCUCACGAAUCCGCGAUUGACGCUGAUGCACGAAAGCGUGGGUAUCAAACAGGAUUAGAUACCCCUGUAGUC